rnacentral:rRNA from 1 species
AGAGCGAACGCUGGCGGCAGGCCUAACACAUGCAAGUCGAGCGCCCGUAGCAAUACGGGAGCGGCAGACGGGAUAGUAACACGUGGGAACGCGCCCUUCGGUUCGGAAUAACUCAGGGAAACUUGAGCUAAUACCGGAUACGCCCUUACGGGGAAAGAUUUAUUGCCGAAGGAACGGCCCGCGUCCGAUUAGCUAGUUGGUGAGAUAAUGGCUCACCAAGGCGACGAUCGGUAGCUGGUCUGAGAGGAUGACCAGCAUCACUGGGACUGAGACACGGCCCAGACUCCUACGGGAGGCAGCAGUGGGGAAUAUUGGACAAUGGGCGCAAGCCUGAUCCAGCCAUGCCGCGUGGAUGAUGAAGGCCUUAGGGUUGUAAAGUCCUUUUAACGGGGAAGAUAAUGACGGUACCCGUAGAAUAAGCCCGGCUAACUUCGUGCCAGCAGCCGC